rnacentral:tRNA from 1 species
GGGCCCAUAGCUCAGUCGGUAGAGCAUCGGACUUUUAAUCCGCUGGUCGCUGGUUCGAAUCCAGCUGGGCUCACCA